rnacentral:rRNA from 1 species
UACUGAGGGUGCAAGCGUUAUCCGGAUUCACUGGGUUUAAAGGGUGCGUAGGCGGAUAGGUAAGUCCGUGGUGAAAUCCUGCAGCUUAACUGCAGAACUGCCGUGGAUACUAUCUAUCUUGAAUGUCGUGGAGGUUAGCGGAAUAUGUCAUGUAGCGGUGAAAUGCUUAGAUAUGACAUAGAACACCCAUUGCGAAGGCAGCUAACUACGCGAUAAUUGACGCUGAUGCACGAAAGCGUGGGGAUCAAACAGG